CUGGCUCAGAACGAACGCUGGCGGCAGGUCUUAGGCAUGCAAGUCGAACGGAUGACAAGGGAGCUUGCUUCCUGAAGUCAGUGGCGCACGAGUGAGUAACGCGUGGGAAACUGCCCUUCACUGGGGAAUAACGUUUGGAAACGAACGCUAAUACCGCAUACGCCCGCAAGGGGAAAGAUUUAUCGGUGAUGGAUGUGCCCGCGUUGGAUUAGCUAGUUGGUGGGGUAAUGGCCUACCAAGGCGAUGAUCCAUAGCUGGUCUGAGAGGACGAUCAGCCACGCUGGAACUGAGACACGGUCCAGACUCCUACGGGAGGCAGCAGCUAAGAAUAUUGGGCAAUGGAGGAAACUCUGACCCAGCCAAUGCCGCGUGAAUGAAGAAGGCCUUCGGGUUGUAAAGUUCUUUUAGUCAUGAAGAUGAUGACAGUAGUGACAGAAAAAGCACCGGCUAACUUCGUGCCAGCCGCUGC
rnacentral:rRNA from 1 species